UUACUUUUACAAGUGGUUAGGAUUAUUAUGUAUUUUAUUUACAUGUAAAUAUUGAAACAAAUAAUAUUGUACUGUUUCAUAAUUUAAAACUCAUUAUGUUACAGCCUUUUCCAGUUGAUAAAAUUGCAAAUCAAAAACUUUUAGAUUUUACUGUGUGGAUGGCACAGGAAGAAAACAAGAGUACUUACAAGAACAUGAAACAUCUUAUUAUGAAUGUAUGCGAUCCUCAAAAAAUUAUUCUACAAAACAAGAUCGAGAAAGAGCUUUAAAAUCCCAAGGAUCCUGCAAAAUGUUUAUUUCCUGUACUAGUCGAAGAAUAAUAGUAUCUAAAAACAUUGAAACUGAUUUUUGUGGAGUAACAUAUUUUAAAACACAUUAUGACAUGAGGAUGAUAUAGAGUACUUACAUAUACCAAAAUCAGAUAAAUAUCUCUUCAAAGUUUAUUUUGAGAGUUUUUUCAAAAAUUGCACUUCAGACUGUUCAGGAUAGCAUAGGAGGUGAAUUAAAAAUAAUUGAUUUACUUACAAGAAAAGAUAUCACAAACAUUAAACACCCUUGUGGCAUUGAUUUGAAAGAUGGAUAUAGGUACAAACAUGACGCAACCAGUGUUCAUUUUUGGGUCGAAUGCUUACAGACUACGUCAUGUCCAAUAUUAUUUUACAAACAACAGG